AUGGGGCCGCCGCGUAAGCGGACGGAGGAGGAUAUGGAGGUGGACGAGGACAACGCCGACGAUGUCCGUGCCGGCGCGCUUGCCACGGUAGAGGAGCGCGAACUCGGGAACAUGAGGAAGAGGGGACCGGAGGCCGAAGAGGAGGGCGACGAACUGUACACCUUCCCGUUGGAUAAUCGGUCCGGGAAGCUUGCCAAGUGGAACACGUGGGAGAAGAAGAAGAAGGCGGAGGCGAGCAGGUUGGAGGAGCUCCUGAGGUGGCGCGUGGACGGAGUGAAUCGAUUCGAUGUCCCACCAGCCGCCGCCGCCAUCGACACCGUAUGCGUGUGUUCACCGGUUAGAAUAACGCAAAUUUAG
rnacentral:rRNA from 1 species